CACCCUCCCACCCUCCCUCCCUUCCACCGAAAGAGACGUGACGUCAAGCGAUCCUGCCCCACCGCGUGUUGCCUGUACGCACGCGCAAUAAUCGGUCCACGUUUCGUCCCCAACACGUGUAACAUCGUACAACAUGUUCCGUUUAAAUUAACAAUAACGGAUGGGAUAAUAAUCUUGGAGAUACGAGAAACGAGAUCGAGAUAAAGAGAUUCGAGCGGAGAGACGAGGCGAGUCUAUUUAUUUAUUAUUAUUUUUCUUUUCGAGUUUACGAGUUUGCGUGUCCGACGGAACAUUCGUGUUCAAUGCCAUUGCGCCGUCGAUAAUUCAGGGAUCGAUUUAAACGAGACAUCUUGUACAACUUCUGUUCUAAGCAAGAAGCGAUUUUAUAUAUGUGUUGUUACAGAUAGUUGUGCUAGAUUCGGGCCUUGCUUGUACGAUGGGUAUAUGGAAGGAACGACAUUGAUAUUGUGAAUCAGACCUGUUCAAUCUUCAAUCUUCUUUCGAUCGUAUUGAUGAAGAUCAUCCGAUUUGGAAACAAUCUGAUUCCUUCUGAGAACUCGAAGAAUCAAGAACCUGAAAUCAAAAUCAAAAUGUCGGAUUAUUAAUGCCGAUAAUUAUAUCUUUUUUCCCCCCUGAAAAAUCUUCGAUGAUGGAUCUUGCAGCUUCUCUUUUCCAUUCGAUGCGUGACGCGAUACCCCGCGAGUAAAAAGAAAAAAAUUAAACAUCGACGAUUCUUUUUUGCAAACGAGAGAACGAGAAAGAAAAAAAAAAGAAGAGGAAACUGAAAUCAAAAUAUUUCUUCUUGUAAAUUUGAAAAAAGAGGCAUGGAGGAAAAAAAAAUAGAAAAAAAAUAAACAGAAUCGCUCGAUGAAGAAUGUAAACGAUUUGUAGAGAUUCGUCUUCCAAUUGAUGAUCAGAUAUAUUCUUCCUCGGAUGUUUUCUUCUUCGUCUUCGAUGAACGGAUGCCGCAUCUUCGAAUUAAUUCGAAGAAAAUCUUGGUUGGAGGGUUGGGUUAUAUACGCAAAAAACUAUCUAAGUGAUUUUGGAGAAGUUCGAAAAAUCUCAAGACAUUGAUUUACCCUUGCAAUCGUGUACUUUGAUAUUUAUAAUAAAAUUAUAAUAAACUAUGAUAACAAUACACGUUGCGAAACUAGUGUAUACGUAUGUAUUAUAACCAAGGCCUCGGGCAAACAUUGUUGUCACGAAUUUUUCUUUUCAAAUGCCGUUACAAUAAUUGUUCAACGUAUCACAGAACAUUUUUUUUUUUUUUUUUCUCAUAGAAUGAAAUAUAUAUAUGCAUGUGUGUAUAUAUAUAUAUAUUUUUUUCUUUCUUAAAAUUAAUUUAACGUCGCACUUUCUUCUGAAGCUGAAUUCGCAUUUCAUUGCAUCGUUUUUUUUUUUUUGUUUUUCUUUUUGCUAAAACAAUUUGAUCCGUGUAAUAUAUAUAUAUAUAUAUAUAUAUAUAUAUAUAUAUAUAUAUAUAAAUCCGAUAUAUCGAAUUUUUUCUCGCUCCUUUCUCUUGCAUCGAUAAAAGAGAGCAUUGUUUUAAAAUUGGCAAAAGACGCCGCAAAUACAAAAAAAAAAAAGAAAGAAA